GCGGGUGUGGUGGAAUUGGCAGACACGCAAGAUUUAGGUUCUUGUGCUUCACGGUGUGCAGGUUCAAGUCCUGUCACCCGCACCA
rnacentral:tRNA from 1 species